ACAUAAGUAUAAUUUAGCUUUAAAAAAACAGAUGUUUCCACGGUAUAUUACAAGGUCGUGAGUCCUUGAUAAUCUAUAAUUACAAGAAUUUGUGGCCAAACAGAUACUUUUGAACCACAUCUAUACUCGCAUAAAAAUCUCAGUUAGUGAUGAUGGUGUGCGGUGUGCCUGCCAUCUAUGAUUUCAGACCAUCAGAUUUCCAUCUAAUGCAUGCAAAUGCAAGGCAUGACACAUUUGCAGAAACAUGCCCGCCACUCUGCCCAAAUUUUCACGGAACUCCUUGAUCUUUCCCAUCCAACCCCAAUCCCCACCCCUUCCCAGCUCAAGCCGCCCACCUCCUGACCUCUAGGCCUACGACUCCGUAUCCAUCGACACCUAGAAGGCUAGAACCUUCGCCGCCGCCGGCCCCUCCCACCGGCCACCUGUGUGCCGAUGCCCCCUCCAUCUAGCCGCCACCCACAUCUGCGCCGCCUACAACGCCCCCGUUCUUCUGCGCCUCCGCCCCUAGCUCGCCCAUCCAAAGCUUAUCUCCGUCCUCCCGAGCAAGCCGCCAAACCUACAGACGAGAUACUCGAUUUUUCUGCCCUCCGUAUACGAGGUUGCCAAGCUGCCGGAUCUGGUGGAAAUCGCCCCAAUCCCAGGGUGAGCUCAUAUGGCAGCUGGCUCGAGUUAGUCUACAGACCUCCACAGCCACUACACAUGAGGUGACAGACACCUAGCCAGGCCGCCACGUAUGCGGAUGCACAGCUCGUGGAUCCGGUGGAGGUGGCCCCAAUACCAGCAUCAGCUCGUCCCGCCGCUGCCCCUAACUUGCCUACAGGCUGCCGCAGGAGUCACUCACGUGGUCGGAUUAACAACCUGGUGGUCAACUUCCCUCCAGAAUUCUAUGCUACAAGAUAAAAUUAAGUGAUUUGGAACGCUACAAUAUCAAUUCGUUUACCCAUGGGCGGCAUGCUACUUCGUAUAAUGCUCACAGACAUGGAGAGAUGACGAUGCGUGACAUGGAAGGGUGACCGAGUAGGAAAUGCACUAGCAGGUUCAGUCAGUAGUCGUCAUACCUCCAUUGCACAGAUUCGUGGGGACAAGUAUUGAGAAUGGUGUGUGGGCUGGAGGGUGAAGCACAUGUUAAGCGAGGAGGAGCUGAAGACAGAGACUUAUUUGGAUUGUCAUUGCAAUUGCCAAAUGCGUGUGUGGAAAGAUUUUCUUUGUCACAUGCUCUAUGCACUAUAGGAUAGAGCAAGGAAUGAUAAAGCACAGGAAGUCCUCCUGAAAGGUGAAUAUGGAGAAGAAACCGUUUGGCUUAGAAGAAGGGUUUUUUAGUUGGAAACCGUAUGUUCGAUUGUGCUCGACGUGUAUUGAUCAACAAUAUAACAUCAUUUUGAUCAAUA